CGACGACGAGCCGCGGUCCGUGGUGAUCCGCGGCUUCGGCCCGCGCUGGGCCGAAGCGCCGGCGCUGCCCGGCGUCGUCGA
rnacentral:tRNA from 1 species